rnacentral:lncRNA from 1 species
AUGUCCCAGCAUCAGAGCUGGGUUUCUGUGAUUUUACAAUAUGAUUUUGGAUUUAAAGUUUCUCAGUUCUGCCUGAACUCUGCUGGAGAUGCCAGAGCUCUUUCCCAGAUGGAAUUCCUGCUGUGCUUUUCACAAAAACCUACUGACAGGAUGCCAUACUUGAAUGCAAUCAUUGUAAACACCGGUACCACACAGGUACUUCUGGGCUCCGAACAAGCUUUUGUGCCUUGGAAAUUCACCAGUUCUCUGAAAAAAAAUCCCUUGUUGCUAUGGAAAUACCAUCCCUUCACGAUGAAUCCUUCUUGAAGGUGGAGGACAUUGGCAAGACUAAACCUGCCUGCUCGUCUUGCUCUAUUCUUCUGAGACUCGUUUUUACAACCUUCGCAGGAUGUGAAUUCAUUCAGCGUGGUGGCCUCCUGCAGGGAGUGCUCUGCUCACACCAUCUUGUACCAACAGGCAGCCUGAGGAGAGCCCUCUGUGCCAGGGCCUGGCUGCAGGACACCUGGCAGCACUCACAGCAGCCCUGUGCUUCCUGCAACUUGUAUGUUUAAAUAUUUCUAAUGAUGGGGGAAACAAAUUGUUACAGCUACAAAUCACCUGCCAGAGUGACCAGAUUUGCAUCACAAACCUUUGCACAAUCAGUACUUGACAAAAGCCAGGUUGUCCCUCAGUAACUUAAUUUUUUUUUGAGAGUUUAGGAAGGGCUGUGGUAGGAAAAUGUGGUUCAAAGCAGCAUUCAAUGUGCUGAAUACUUUUUAUUCCAAGUGCAAAUCUGUGACUGUACCUGUUAAGAUUGUAUUAGAAUGAUUAAACCAAUUAAAACAGAUUUAUUGCCAUUCUAAGAUUCCCUUUUGAGAUGGAAAUAGUCCUGCUUUUAAAACAUGAAUUCAUUGUUCUAUAAAGGUUUCACACAUUUUAAAAGUGUUAUCAAAAACUGUAGGAUUGCCUUCUGAAGAAAUUUUUUAAUCUUUCACUGCCUGUCUUAAGUGGCUGAAACAAGACAGUAGAGAAAACAUUUUAGGGAAGGCUGAGAAAAGAAUGGAGCUACAGCCAGUUUCUGACAUGGGACCAGAAUCUGACACCAGA